GGCUGUGUACGUCAGUGGUAGACGACUGCCCUCCUAUCUUUUAAUAGGCGGUAGGCAGGAGUCCAGGGUUCGAUCCCCUGCAUGGUCG